GACGAACGCUGGCGGCGUGCUUAACACAUGCAAGUCGAACGGAAAGGCCCUGCUUUUGUGGGGUGCUCGAGUGGCGAACGGGUGAGUAACACGUGAGUAACCUGCCCUUGACUUUGGGAUAACUUCAGGAAACUGGGGCUAAUACCGGAUAGGAGCUCCUGCUGCAUGGUGGGGGUUGGAAAGUUUCGGCGGUUGGGGAUGGACUCGCGGCUUAUCAGCUUGUUGGUGGGGUAGUGGCUUACCAAGGCUUUGACGGGUAGCCGGCCUGAGAGGGUGACCGGCCACAUUGGGACUGAGAUACGGCCCAGACUCCUACGGGAGGCAGCAGGGGGGAAUAUUGCACAACGGGCGGAAGCCUGAUGCAGCAACGCCGCGUGCGGGAUGACGGCCUUCGGGUUGAAAACCGCUUUCGCCUGUGACGAAGCGGGAGUGACGGUAAUGGGUAAAGAAGCACCGGCUAACUACGUG
rnacentral:rRNA from 1 species